rnacentral:rRNA from 1 species
UCAAGCUACAAAGGGCUUACGGAGGAUGCCUUGGUACGUGGCGCCGAAGAAGGACGUGACAAGCUGCGAAAAGCUUCGGGGAGGAGCAAAUAUCCUGUGAUCCGCAAAUAUCCGAAUGAGGGAACUCCGCACGGGUAAAGCCGUGUGAUCCGUAUAUGAAUAGAUAGUAUACGGAGGGGAACCCGGGGAACUGAAACAUCUAAGUACCCGGAGGAAAAGAAAACAAAAGUGAUUCCGAAAGUAGUGGCGAGCGAAAUCGGAAGAGCCCAAACCGAAUGUAGAAAUACGUUAGGGGUAAGGACCGCGAGAAGCGAGAGUGAAAGCUAACCGAAAUACCUGGGAAGGUAUAACGCAGAGGGUGAAAUUCCCGUAGGUGAAAGCGGAAGCUCGGCGAGCGGAAUCCGGAGUACGUCGGGACACGAGAAAUCCUGACGGAAGGAACGGGGACCAUCCCGUAAGGCUAAAUACGACCACGUGACCGAUAGCGAAUAGUACCGUGAGGGAAAGGUGAAAAGGACCCCGGGAGGGGAGUGAAAAAGAACCUGAAACCGUAAGUUUACAAGCAGACGGAGAGCGUUAAGAGCUCGACGUCGUACUUUUUGUAGAACGGGCCGGCGAGUUACGAUGUGAUGCGAGGUUAAGCGAUGAAGUCGCGGAGCCGAAGCGAAAGCGAAUCUGAAAAGGGUGAAAAGUAUCAUGUCGUAGACCCGAAACCGAAUGACCUAACCAUGAGCAGGUUGAAGCAAUGGUAAAACGUUGUGGAGGACCGAACACACGCCUGUUGAAAUAGUCGGUGAUGACUUGUGGUUAGCGGAGAAAUUCCAAACGAAUUCGGAUAUAGCUGGUUCUCCUCGAAAUAGCUUUAGGGCUAGCCUCGCGAAACAGACUAUGAAGGUAAAGCACUGAAUGACCUAGGGGGCUUCACAGCCUACCGAAGUUUAUCAAACUAAGAAUGUUAUAGUUAAAGGCGCGGGAGUCAGACAGCGACAGCUAAGUGCCGUUGUCAAAAGGGAAACAGCCCAGAUCUACAGCUAAGGUCCCGAAGUACAGGUUAAGUGGAAAAGGAUGUGACGAUGCAAAGACAACCAGGAUGUUGGCUCAGAAGCAGCCACACAUUAAAAGAGUGCGUAAUAGCUCACUGGUCGAGUGACGUUGCGCCGAAAAUUAACGGGGCUCAAACCUGACACCGAAGCUUAGGAAUACUUUAAAAAGUAUUGGUAGAGGAGCAAUGUAUACGAGAAGAAGGCGUACCGGAAGGAGCGCUGGAUUGUAUAGAAGAGAGAAUGCCGGCAUAAGUAGCGAGAGCGGAGCGAGAAACUCCGCCGUCGAAAGUCUGAGGUUUUCCGGGGAAGGUUCGUCCGCCCGGAGAAAGUCGGGACCUAAGCGGAGGCCGAAAGGCGUACGUGAUGGACAGCAGGUUGAUAUUCCUGCACUACCGAGAGAGACAAUGAAGCAAUGACACGGAAAGAUAGAAGAAGCGCGCGGAUGGAAAAGCGCGUCCAAGCAAAGAGGGUGGCUGGUAGUAAAGAACGCCAGUCAAAAGCCUGAUUUGUGACGGGGAGUGGACCAAGGAAACGAAGUCUUUGAAUCUACGCCGGCGAGAAAAGUUGCUAAAUAUUUCGAGGUACCCGUACCGCAAACCGACACAGGUAGACGAGAAGAAAAUUCUAAGACGAACGGGAGAACCCUUGUUAAGGAACUCGGCAAAAUGACCCCGUAACUUCGGGAGAAGGGGAGCCAUCGAGAGAUGGCCGCAGUGAAGAGGCCCAAGCGACUGUUUAUCAAAAACACAGGUUUCUGCUAAGGCGAAAGCCAAGGUAUAGGAGCUGACUCCUGCCCAGUGCCGGAAGGUCAAGGGGACUUGUUAGCAGCAAUGCGAAGCAACGAACUUAAGCCCCGGUGAACGGCGGCCGUAACUAUAACGGUCCUAAGGUAGCGAAAUUCCUUGUCGGGUAAGUUCCG